rnacentral:sRNA from 1 species
UUUUUCCGCCUUUGUCCUGAGGCUCCCCGCAGCUUCCUGCUGUCAGCCCCAGCUGUGGGGAAGGCGGAAUGUGCCUGAGUGAUAUCGCCGGGCCGCCGCCGGGCAGCGCCAAGCCUGGCCUGGCUACCCCACGCCAAGAUUCAUGCCCGGCAAACAAGCCACACUUUGUUCCUGUGGGAAAGUCCGGCCUCUCAGGAAAGAGCCUCUCUCGGCGGCUGGGCCCUGGGCUGGGGACGCGCAGCAACAUUCCACAUGCCUGCUCAGUAGCCUGGAUCUCAGAGUGAAGUGAUGUGACAGGGAGAAGCUGUCACACUGCAAAUAAGACGUGAGUGACAAAGAAUCCACUGGGUUGCAAGGUGUUAAGAUGGAGGGGCUGUUUGUUACCUCAGCGCAACUCAGCUUGCUGACUGACACUGCUGGUGGUAACACGCAUGCUACAAAUGACUAAGCUGCACAUUCAGGCUGUGUAUUCGAGCUACCCGUCUGUGUUGGCAUCAUUCCUCCUGCGUCUUACUUUUCCCUUCGGAAGUGUUUAGGCAUGUUUUAAGUUUGACCUUUGCGCAUGAGCUCCCCCUUCCGCUCUGGCUGGCAGGGCCCAUCGGAAGCUGUGAGUGCAUCCAUUUUUGCUCAGGCAAGAUGAGCAGCUGCCUUUCCUGGAGGAGACACCUAACCUUUAAACCAUCCUCUCAGAACUUGGGUGCACAACGGAAAUGCUCUGGGGGACGUGACUUGAACAUUCGUGCGUGUUAUUUUUGGUCUAUGCUUAACACACACAUGCUCUGGGUCACCCACCUGGAGGCAAAACAGCUCAGUCAAAAUGUCAAAGAGACAGCAUCCACGAGAUCUUUCUAGACCCAUUCUGGGGACAACUGGCAGCAGAAACAUGCGUGUCCAACCUCAGAAGAGGUGUUCAGGGAUGGCUGGAAUCCAUCUUCUUAUGCGUUCACAAUCUGGAUUUCCUGUCUUGACCCCGAUGAAAAACAUCUUCUAUCAACCAUCACCAUGCCUGUGACCCCCUGCUGUCCUUGCCUCCAGAAACCCUCCUCCAGAGUGCUAAGAUGAUGCUGUACCAAGAGGGAUCCAUGAGGAGGAGUAGAACAUUCUGAUGCCUUGGAAAUAGAAAUGUGAGAGGACCCCAGAUGUGAGGAUACAAAGGGUGGGGCUAUGACACAAAGGUGAGCCUGCAAAGUUAGCAGGCAUGGUUCCUCUGGACUCAGGCAAAAACGAGGCUGUAAGUGGAUGAGUGGACACUGCAGACCUUCUCAGGGCUGUGCACAGAUGUGACUGGCUUCGGGACACCUGUGGUAACACCCUGUGGUACUGAUUCCUUUGAAUGAGGAGCAUAGUUUUCCUAGGGAAAACCCUAGGCACAAUGACAGAUGUGUGACAGCCCUAGCUCCAUUUUGGUGUUCAAGUCUCACAUCAUCCUCUCAAGACUCCCCUUUAUCCAGAAAUAGGGAAUGAAACCAUGAGCUCAACAUAUAACUUUUUAAAAGUGACUUUAAAAAAAAUGAGCUGUAAGCAAGGACCUUAGGAAUAGAAAUCAGGUGGUAAGGUGGGGUGGAGGGAGAGUUCAAAAGUGACAAGAGGUGAUUAAAGGGCUAGGCUCAACAUUUUAUGCCUUCUCCAUGCCAGAGGGGCCAAGCACGCUCAGUACAGUUAUACUUAACUGUACUAAGCUGGUGCUGACUUAACAAGCACUGGGAGGACUGAGUCUCUCACAAGCUCAUAUGUGGUGGACUUCCAAUGUUCACAAGGUGAAGCGCCUGAGUGAGGACUUUGGGGCCUUUAAAAAUACCUGACACAGAGUGCCCAUUACAUGCAAGGUCAUCUACACACCAGCAAAAGGAGAGGUGGCCCAGUAGGUGCCUAGGUAUUAGGCCUGAACAUGUGCCUUACAGAGACAAUACCUCCAUGACCAUCAGAUCUAUAUAGGGAGGUUCGACCUCAGUAUAGGACAGGAGAAGCCAGUCAGAACCAUAACCCAGACAAAGGGCAGAUACCAGACACAAAACAUGUGCUAUAGGGCACAUUCACUUUUAGAUAGUGUACCUCAGCAUUCAAGUUGAUGGAGACCUUCCUUCUCCUGCUCUAAGGGUCUCCAGAUGCCUAGGCCCUCCUGACUUCUCUCCUUUGGUUCUCCAUGAAAGGCUGUACCACUCUGCUGUGGGAACCCAUUUCCUUCUGCACCUCAUUGCUCUCAUCCAAACAAUGAAAGGCUCAUUCUAGAAAAACUUCACAAUCUCAUUGGCGUUUAUAUUGAGAAGUUUCUCAGACUCCACUGGGAGACAUGAGGGCCCUUCCUGAUGAUGCAGGGUGGAGCUGAGUCUUCUUUGGGUUUCAGAAGGAUUCCUGAGGUUGACCCUUCCUGCAGACCUCAAUCAGAGGUGUCUCAGUGGGUGCCUCUGUGAGCAUUUUCUGAAGCUUUCGUGUUUUUUACUGGUGCCUAAGAACUGUGUGUGUCUUAUGGUGCUCUGGGGUUCUUAGAGAUUGCUAUUGUCAAACUAAGGCAUUUGGCAUGUCCACCGUACACGGAUGUUUUAGUGACUGUGGUACGGCCCAUUUCAUAACUAGAAAGGGGGCUUUGGAGUGGUAAUCAGGGACUUGGGGAUGUGACAGUCUGUACCCUGCUUGCUGCGCAAGCAUGAGGACCCAAUUCUGGCUUGCCAGCACCCACUGUAAGAGCUGGGCAUAGCAGCACAUGCCUGUAAUCCAGGCCCGGGAGAGCAGAGAGAAGAGAGCACCUGGGGCUCAUCGGCCAUCAGGCCAGAUCAGCAAACUCCACUUUAGUGAGAGAUCCUGUCUCACAAAAUCAAGGACAGAGUGACUGAGGAUGACCUCAGACAUUGACUGCCGACCUCCGCACAUGCACAUGCAGGCACGUGUACUUAUAUACACACAUGGGCACACACACAAACAAGCACAACAUAGAGCGGGGAUUUGGAAUGUGGCUAACAGACACCACCUCCUAGGAAAAUCUUAUGGAUCGAGGUAUGAAGAACACUGGGCCCCUGCUGAGGCCGUUUCUGCCCACCCACGCUCCACAAAGGAUACCCAAGUCUGUCAAUUUGAAUGAGGCUCCAUUUCUUUAUACCUUAAGUAGCAAUCAUGGCUUCAGUUAACCUCUGGAGCCUGAGGCAGAGUUCUCAAUCUCCGGCCUUCCAGUGAGGAUUCCAGGCCCUGUGCCUCCUGGACCUGGCAGGGGUGGGGGCAGGCCAGCCCAGUCCACCUCGUAAAUCACAGGCCAGGAAAUGCAGGGUGGGUGCCCCGGAGCCGUUGGGCACCGCAUUAGCUGCUUCAUCGGUACCCCACAAGCGAGCUUUGUGCAGCCCAGGGCAGGGGAGAGGGUGGGCGGUUACUAGAAGGCAAACUUGGGCCAGCGUGCCCCCAGGGUCUCCAGCUCCCCAAGUCUCCUCACACAGGGGCCAGAAACGCGGCUUUUUUAUUUUUCAGAAGGUGGGGGACAUUUGGCUCUGAGUUUAAGGGCACACAAAAGGCCCUCGAAAGGGAGACAGAAAUCUAUUACCCGCCUGGCCAGAAAUUGCCCUGGGGGAAGCUGGGUUAGGGCCAAGGGCGAGAAGCCAUCCCAGGGGGACCUCCGAGAGGCCUCUUCAAGGGGAGCAGGACCCACAGGCUGUAGGAAAGCCUUACAAGGGGAUGUGUUCUCUUCAGGAAGUCUCAGGAUAGCGAGUUUCACUUCAGGUUCUGACGGUGGGAGGACCAAAGGGUGAGUGAACAGACGGAGAUAGAAUGAGGCAUCCGUGUCAGUACUUGGGUGCGUGGGCUGUAAACCACAUGCAGGGUUCAGGUAAGAUACGCCUACCAGAGAGGGUGCCCUUGCUUCAACUGUGCUAGAAAGCUACUUUCUGCUACCCCAAACAAGGGCUCUUUGAGAGAGCAGGAAGCCCCCGCCAAAAUGCCAAUAAUAACUUUGCCGGAGAGAGAAACAGGGUUGGGCAUGGAGGAUGAGCAAAGGUUCAGACCAGGAAGUGAGGUUGACCACAUCGGCUCUCUGAUUAUCGUCCGGGCUCAGGGAUGUAGGGAGGGCUGAUACCAGUGGCCAGCCUGCUUCUGUAUUUUAUCCUGGGUAGACUUAGGAAGUCCUGGGUGGUGGUGGUACUGCAGCUAAGGGUUACAAUGUUGGAAGGAAGAAGGAGGUGUGGCUUAAGAUGGGAGGGGCCUGAAGAGCCCAGUAACUCCUAGAGUGCCUGCCAUUAGAACUCACUCACCCAUGCUGCCUCCGAGUCUCUGUGUGACCCUCAUCUCCAUCCCUACUGCGUCCCUCCUAUCUAAACUCAGCAGCCAUCAGGGUAGGUAAGCAGGACAGACAGGUGUCCAGGCUGGUUCCUUUCAAUGCAAGCAAGGGCCAUCUUUUCUCUCCUAUUUCACACACAGUUCCGCGGUCGACUCAGCCAGAACAAAUGCUCAAUUAAAUACAUUUAAAGGCAAUGAAGUGUAAUUUCUCCUCCGGAAAUAACCGGGGAACAGAGCCAGAGCUCUAGCCAGCUUUCAGGGCCCCAGGAUUGUGACCAGAGAGUUUUGCAGAGAAGAUAGUAGGCCUGGGCUUGGUCCUGGCACAAACACACCCAGGACGUUCCUACAGAGUACCAGGGUUGUUCCACAGGCAGGAAGCACAGGCUGACACCCAGCAGUGGCAGAAUUGAAGUCCCUUAGUCUGCCUGGAGUGGCUAAGAGGAGAAGGACAAGAAGAUGGAGGGUCAGCUCAGAAAGCUGAGGGGAAAGUAUCUCAGGGGCUGUGUUCCCUUCAGGUAAUGCUGAAGAGAGACUGAGCUCUGGACCAGACAUGACAAGUCAAACUCCUAGUUCAUCCUUCACAAGUUAUCUGACAUUGACUAAAGGAUUGGCCUCUUCAGUCUCAGUUUUUUAUCUGUAAGAGAGAAAGGAGUGAUGGUUUGGUACCUGCUUCUCAGGUGGGCAGAAGACUGCCUGGAGGAUACUGCAGGGAAGACUUGAAGCAUAGUGGGUGGUUACCAUCAGUGUCUAAGGAAGACAUGAUUUAAAAACCACACAGAUUCCAGUACCUAGAGCACGCAGACUCUGUCAUGAGUUCCCCAAGCAUUUGCUCAUUUAUUCAAGAGGCAGCUGGGACGGAGGUACAAUGGAUACUGGCAAACCAUUCAACAACACAGGGGACUCGACAGGGGACCACAGUCACAAUGCACUGGAGUUAUGGUAGGACAAGGAUCCAUGCAGAAGAGGGCCAGCUCUGUGGGUGUGGCAGCAGGAUGAGGUCCAGAGGGUACCUGGGAGUGUAGCAGGCAGCGGGCAUGGCUUGGAGUGGCUCUCAUUGUACUCCAGCCACCAUGGCAUGUCCCUCCUCAGUAAGGGAUGCCAGUGAUGUUAGUUCAUAGGCUGCCUUUGCACUCAUGGUUAGACAACCAGAGGAGGGGCAGAAAGGGAUGGCAGCCUUCACCCGAGUGCACUAUGGAGGGGGAGGGGGAAAAACACAGAACUUAUAACAAGUGCAGCCUCCACAUUCCAGUGAGGGGCAAUGCUUUGUAUGCCCAAUCAUGUCAACAGUGGCCACUAAAGGUGGAGUUUGCUCAUCUGGAACAUGAACUAAACAGCCUUACUCUCCCAAAGAAGCAUGGUAUCUUCCGCUGCAAGGGUCCGUGACAAAAUGCUCGCAGGUGACUGAGCGUAGGACCCAAAGUACUUUACGUGGCGAGAAGCAAGAGGCAGGAGGCAGGGUCAGAAGCCUCAAAGUCUUACAAGAGUCAGCUCCAUCAGGCCCCUGUGACACCUCUGAGCCCCCUACCCCCUACCUUGUCCCCCAGCCUCCUCCAAGACUAUUUAUUUUAGAUGUUUUCUGAUCCAGUCAUUCAAUUAGCAAGUCAGCAGUUGCCUCCUCUACCCCCUACCACCAGCAGCAAGAUGCAGGGAGGGUCAGGCACGUCCACAGACUGGCACUGCUGUUUUACGCUGUGCUGGUUUCUGCCUUCACCUGGUGUCGCCUCGUGGGUCAUUUGUGUUUUACUCAUUUCUCUCAUUUGAGCUUCCUCAAUGAGUGCAGGGGGUGUGGGGUGCAGUCACAGCCGGGGCUCUUCUGCACUCUGAUUGUAUGUUGAUGUCUUCCUAUGGACCCAUCAGUGAAUGUGUCUGACUGUAGCUGGAGUUUCAGAAAUGUGAAGAAGGGCGUCUUGGGUUCACCAUGGUAAAGCUGAACCAGAGCCAGCAGGGUAGAGGAGAGGGAUUGGCAGGGCACAGCCGUAAAAAGACGAGGAGGAUAGAGAGGUUCAGUAGAGGCAGAUGCAAGGUGGCUGAGACCAGUAAUCACUUGCAAAGGCAAGACUGGGCUCUGCACUGACAGCUUAGAGAGGCCAGUGCUCACCACGGACCUCUUGACGACAAGAUGCUCACACAGGUAUUUUGAGAGCAAAACCCACUUCUAGGACAAGUAGAUCAAAUCACAUGGUCUGUCAUGUUGCUAUCUCUUCCUGGGCAUGUCUCAGCUUCUGUGCUAGGCUGUGAGGUAGGGGCACAGGGGCUAAGCACAGGGGAAGGUGAGGGUUAAUGGUGACCCUAGAGGUGGCUGACUGGAUAUAAGUCCCAUCCUUACUACUAAUGGUUGUGAACUGGGGGAAGAUUUCUCUGCACCCCUGGGGCUCACAAGCACUGCUGCUUUUAUGAGUGGACAAGAUUGUCUGUAAGCCAGAAGGUACAUGAUGCCUGUGAAGUCUUAUUAACUGGUACAUGUUUACUGCCUGCCUCCCCCACCCCACCCUGCUUCAUCUCUCUCUCCUUCCUCCUUCCCCCUCCCUUCCUCUUUCUCUCCCCUCACACUCUCCCUUCAUCCUCCUUCAUUUCCCUCCCUCCCUGUUUUUUGCAGUACUGGGGGAUUGAACCCGGGACCUCCUUCUCUCCCAUGCUAUGCCACCGAGCUCUAUUCCAAGCUACCAAAUGCUUUUUCAUGAAUGGAUUAUCUGUGACGUUUGGGGCUCAGGGGAAUAGUAAGUGUUCUCAACCUAUGGGCCACUUCUUUCAGUGUAAAAAUGAAAUGCAGGAAGUUAAUUCUAACUCUCUUCCCAGGCUCCUGUGAGAGUCCACAGUACGCAAGCCAGCCUGCCUUGCUCAGUAACAUCUGUCUAAAUGCCUGACAGUCUCUUUCCAACCCCUGCCCUGCCUUGCUCCCUUAGCACAGGAAGAAACUGAGAUCCAACAUCAUCACAUACCAGGUGAGCGGCUGUCUUACCAAAACACACUACACUACAAGGUUUUAAAGCCAUCCUGAGGAUAUAUGUGCCAAGGGUGAGAUCAGACUCACAUUCUGAGUCCUCCCUCUGUUCCACAUACCAUAGCCAGUAAGUACUUGGGCUGCCUGGCAAACCUCUGUCACUGAAGCCAGAUGCAGAGGACAUAGGUGUGGUGGGGGGACCCAUCUCUCACCCUGUCAGAAAUGACCAGGUAGAUGAUAACCAGUCACACAGUUACCCCUUCUCCCUCAGCAUCUCAAAUACCAGUUGAUUGAUCUGUAAGCCAAGGCUAAGAGAGCUAAUCAACAUAGAGGGAGCAGAGAGGGACAGGAGAGUUGCAGUAGAGAACACGAAACAAAGCUAUAACAGUCUAGAGGUGGAUCUGUGCUGGGGGGAGCCUAGGAUGGAGCUUCCCCUGGGUUCCCAAUUCUCUAUUUCAUUUCACUAACUCUUGGGUGACCCUGCCCAGUUGUGGUAACAUUAAAAAUGAGUGGCUAAUAUUUCCCUCCUCCCACAUAGUACACAAACGACAAGACAGACCCGGUGAGAUUUCUUGGCAGUCAGGAGAGUCCUCAACACCAAGAGAGAGCAUGGAGACAUAGCCUCUGCUGUCAUGGGAACAGACUUCUCCAUGCCUUUGGUUUUGCUGGGGCCUCCACUUUCCCAUGCUGUCCAAAAGCUGUCAUGGUGCCUGCAGCUACAGUCAGCGUACAGGGUCAGUGCUCUGGGUCCAGAGCAAAGCAGAGGCAGGUGGUAGGCCGGAAGGAGCCAAUGGAAGAUCUAGGGGAAACUGGUGCAUUCCUGGCCCCACAGUGACCUCUGAGAUAAUGGAAAGGAGCAACAAAUCAGUGUUCCCAUACACACAGGAAGGCAGCAUUCUGACACUGUGCCCUGUCACUUCAAGUUUCCAUGCGUCAACCCCCUGUCUACAUGCCCAAUGCCCAACGUCAGGGUACGGCUUCCUCUUCUACGACCUGGUUCAAAUGACACCUCAGCUGGGGAGCCGCCCUUCACUCUUCGACAAAGACAGUUGCUCCAUUUCCAAGGUCCUGAAGCGUUGUCCGGCCUGAUUCUAGUUUCCUGUUGAUUUUUUUCUAUAUGCGUCACUUUCUUUCCUUAGGCAAAUCAUCAGACUUCAGCAUGCCCAGCUUGGAGCACUUCUUAGUUUUGCAGUAAAAACAUGGACUAGUAAUCAAGUUGAACGUGAUGAGAUACGAACUGUGACUGUCCCUAACGUUCCUGUUGGUGGCAACGGGUUUUCUAUCACUUGCAAACAAUGCUGUACGUUUUCAUACCUGCGGUUGUUUAAAAAUAGAUGCAGUACUGCCCAGACUCAAAAUCCAAGGCUGAUUUAAUUUUGUUGAAGCAUUAUUAAGAAACCAUGAACAUAAAAGACCUUCAAUUCAGAUCCAAGCUUGCAGCUCCUGCGUUGGCAUCUUGGGUAUAUUACACCAAAGACUGUUUGGAAGCAGAGUUUACAGUCCACUCCUCAGUGGAGAGGCAUUUGUGGGCAUGGGCUAUGAAACCUGUCUUCAUUUCAAUGGCUUGUAAAAUACAAUCUCCAUGCAAAUAGGAAAGGGAGCAUCUCAGAGUGUGGACUCAGAGGACUGUUAGAGCAUCAGCCCGUGUGGCUAGCGUUUGGGAGACUGGACAGUGUUCAAGGACACUUAAGGAAUUUUAGUAUCACAAAGGAAGCCUGAUGUGCUGUGUUGAGACAAUUUGGUGUCCAGGCAAGCAAACAAGCUGUCUCCAAGAAAGAGCUGGUCUGAGCUGCCCAGUGACUUUGCAGCUGCUCUGUUCCCAGAAAUCUGAACUUGUUGGAGAAGACUCACCGUCGGCUUGUCUGUUAAAGUCUCAUCUAGCCAAGUGCUCUUAACGCUUUAAAUAUCUGGAGGGAAAAAUGCAAAUUCGUAAGCCUUAGUUAUAAGAUCUUGGUAACAUUUUAAAAUUCUCCCUUUGAUAAUGUUUGUAAGUACAUGUGUGUGUAGACCAGAGGGUAACUUCCAGAAUUUAGUUGUCUCUUUCUCUGAUGGGCCACAGCCAUCAUAUUCAGAUCCUCAAGUUUAUGGGCACACAUCUUUACAUAAUGAGUGACCUCACCAACUCUGUAAUGAAGGUUUUUCUUCUAUUAUCUGUUUAUUUUUGUUAUGCAUAUAAGCGUUUUGUCUAUAUGCAUUUAGGUGUACUGUGUAUGUGUAUGGUGCCCACGGAGGUAAGAAGGAGGAGUCAGGUCCCCUGAAACUGUAGUUACAGAUAGUUGUGAACUAGUGUGUGGGUGCUGGGAACUGAACCCAGAUCCUUUGCAAGAGCGAUAAGUGCUUUUAACCAACGAGGCCUCUGUACAGCCCCCUUUGAUGAUAGAGUUUUAGUGGAGGAUUCAGUCUGCCUCUGUGCAGUGAUUAGUACCAACUCUGAGCUGUAAAGGGUGGAGGGGACAUUCUGACAACUGGAGAAAAGCUACAAAAAGCAAAACAGACAAGACAGCGGGACCUCCUUUCAUCCCAGCACUUGAGAGGCAGAGGCAUGAAUAUCUCUUUGAGUUCAAGGCCUGCCUGGUCUACAUGAGUUCUAGGCCAGUGAGGGAUAUUGGGUGAGAUGAUUGAAAAAAUAGGACGUCUGUAUCAUACAUACUCCAUUCCCAAGACUCAGAGAUCAUCACGGGAGAGUGGGUUGGAAAGACUAUGAGAGCCAGAGGUUGGGCAGGACCAUCUUUCCGAUGUGAAAGGACUCAUUGUGGUUGUGGGUUCCCACACAAAAUCAAGCCAGUCAACAUUCCAGCACAGAAUGGGAAGGUUUAUGAGCCCCUACCCCCUGACUGAGAAUCUGUGGGAUAGUAAAUAUAUUCUGCUAGAGAAAGAUCCCGAUUUUGAUAGGUUGAACGUACUUCAGUGGUUGGCCCCAAAGUUCAUGAACAGCAUACUUGGAGUCAAUGGGUUAUUAAAAAGUAAAGAUGCCAUGCAAUUGGGGAGGCCAAGGAGGUGGGAGAAAAAAUGGGAGGAGCUAAGGAGGCAAAGUUGAGGGACUGUGAAUGAGAACUCCGGGAAGGAAGUUGUGCCCGAAGAGACUGACUGACUGAAACUGCAGUGAGGGGAUUGGAGUGUUGCAGGCCCAGCAGCUAAUCCCCUUAUCUUGGGCCAGUGCUAGCCCUCAGGAAUAGUCAUUGGUUGUCUAUCUCUGUGUCUGAACUAACAUUAUGUGACUAGGAGAGGGGAAGCUUUAGAAACCUAUUAACCUAGCAGUCCAUGAGCUUCUAUCAACCCCCAAACUAAGAAGAUCUCAAGUAAAAUCUUAGGCCUCUAGAAAAGUUUUCCCCAUCUUGUUGCAAUGGUCUCCAAGAUGCGCCCACCGAUGUAUUUUAAACUUGCCUUGAUUUAUGACUUUCUUACUAUGUAAAACUAUAAAACUUCACAGAACUGCUUCCAGCUGGACCAUGGAAUUUGGAGUAACCUAAAUCUGUGUUUCCAGUUCAUGUCUCUCAAAAUGGCCUCAGAAUAAAUUAUGCCUUAUUUCCUUUAAAA